ACUGAAGUAGAAACUCUUGUCACCAAAGCUGGAUUCUGCCGGCUUUAAUUUUCCUGUCUUCCCUGGGGAGAGGGGACACAUUGAUUGUCUUGGAGGGAUCAGUUUUAUUCCAGAAGCUUCCUUCCAGAUCAUUAAUUCUGGCGGAACACACUUAACUUGCCAUCUUCCAGUAGAGUCCUUCUGGUGAGAAAUGGGGGAACAGAACCCUGUGUGCCGAUUAUAGAAUUUUCAUGUUGACAUUGUAGGAGGUCUUUAAGUCACUUCCGGAAUUACCUCAAGAGGUCAGAAGAAGGCGUGGGUCCCACCAAACUUGAAUUAUUGAAAAUGGUAAGCUGCCACAUGGAUACUGGAAAUCAAACCUGGAAAUCAAACCAGAGCCCUCUGAAAAAGCUACAAGUUUUUUUUUUACUGCUCAGCCAUCCCGAAGCUUCCCAAAAUUCCAGAUGAACAUAAAUACUGUAUUUCCAUUGAUAUAUUAUCACGACACUGGUCUAUGAAGUUUCAGGAAAAUGACAAUCAUAACUUUCAUCCGGAGAGCAUCCUUGCAUGUCUCAAGUCAUGAACAAGACCUUUGAGCUUCUGCAACUACAUCUUCCUGGUACAGUGUUACCAACUUGCAGGCAGCUCAAUCUUCACAAGGGAGUCUUCUCCAGGAGCACAUAAGAAUUCAUCUCACGGUGUCAUCCACUCAAGGGCACAAGCUUCCAAGUUUCCUUGGGAUUCCAUUGCUGCAAAGAGACACCAUAACCACCGCACAACUCUUAUAAAAGAAAGCAUUGAAUUGAGGCUGGCUUACAGUUCGGAGGUUCAGUCCUGUUGUCAUCAUGUGGGGAAAGCAUGGCAGCAUACAGGCAGACAUGGAGCUGGGGAGUAGCUGAGUAUUCUACAUCUGGAACAGCAGGCAACAGGGACAGUAAGAGGUGUCAAGAUGGUACUCAAGUGUAAGAAAUGGGAGAGGAGGAAAAAGAGCCCUUCACAUGUGUCAAGAGAGUAUUCAAGGGGAGAAGAAAAUUAUUGGGGGUCCUUACCCUAGGAGUCUGCUUUCAUCAAGGAAGAAACUCCUCUUCUAAGCCACUUCUAGCUGCUGCAGUGCUGCGACUUGACCUGUCUGCUAACGUCACAAGGAGAGACUGCACAAGAAGUAUGUGAAUGGAAUGAGAGGUUUGUUAAUUCCUGCAAGUUGAUCACUCUGUGGUGGACACCUGCAUCAAUGAACCAUCUUGUGCCCUGUCUAUAUAUAGUCUGUCCCUGGCAUUUGAUGGCAGACUUGACUUCUGGUUGACAUGCAGAUAUGAUACCCUGGUAGGAGAAAUUAUAUCUUUAAACUUUGAAUUCUGAGCAUCUGCCAAUGUGUAGUUGUCAAAUUUGGGUGCUGAACUUUGACCUUCCCUGUCCCCUCAGGCCAGAGUGUUACAGAGCUUUUAAGCCUGAAAACCACAGACAUCUGUGCUAAGCUGUAGUUACAUUUUUCUACCAGUCAGGAUUCAGGGCUAGGGGCCUUCUCUGGGCCCAUUUCUCUGUGUGGCACAUUUAUUCUGUUCUCAUUGGUUGGUUGAUUCCACUGUAGAGGGGUGACUUACCUUAGCAUUCCUGUGUCUGCCAAGGAGGAUGUCAGUUAUAGCAGGGAGAUCUUGGGAACUUAAAUUUUAUUUGACCCCUAUUCAAAACGGAAGUUUUAUUCAAAAUGGCUUCAGCUUGGUUCCUUCUUACACAGUAUCACACGGUAAGGACGAGCGUCUGCUCCUAGUGUAUCAGUCAUGUGAACAGAGGCAAAAGAAGCUGAUACAGUAGACAUGGCUUCCAUCUUGAGGUGGUUUCACCAUUUUUCAAUUAUCUGAUGGCGUGAAGGUUGCGCUGUAUUUUUACCACAGCAAACAGAUGCCAAUGAUGAACGCAGAGACUUAUUAAGUAAAAAGCUUCUUGUGUAGUAUCCAAUAAUGUAAUGAGGUAGUCAACGUUUUUAUGUUCUAAAAUAGCCUUUGUGUUAGCGGUCACAGCCCAACCUCAGGCUUCUUUAAGUUGUGUGCACAUGAGAUAUGAUGUUUGAUAGCUUAGGUAUGUUUAAUAUGUCUUUGAUUUAGGAAGUAUUCUACUUGUGAUGGAUGUUCCAGGACAUAGCCAUUGUAUGUAAGUUGUGAGACAGGUAUAUGCAACUGCUAUCUGCCAAUUAAAUAAAAGUAAAACAAAACC
rnacentral:lncRNA from 1 species